GCUUCACCACCCCCCCUCCUUCCACAGACCCCUGCCUCCCCUUCACCGCGUGCGCCGAGGUGGACGGGUGGCCCUGCCCCUCGGCCAGGGCCAGCAGCAAGCCGGAGGCCAGACAGCAGGCGGCGCUCUCCGCCCUCCGCUGCAUCUGCAGUCAGAUGGAGAGCCCAAAGACCCCAGAGACCCCCUGCAGGCUUCUACACGCACCAUUGAGUGUAGAGAACAUCCUGACCCAUGAGCAGCGCUGCGCGGCCGUGGUCAGCGCCGGCUUUGACCGUCUGGUGGACCAGGCCUCCCCCUACUGGGCCUGUAAGGGCACCGU